rnacentral:rRNA from 1 species
GACGAACGCUGGCGGCGUGCUUAACACAUGCAAGUCGAACGGAAAGGCCCUGCUUUUGUGGGGUGCUCGAGUGGCGAACGGGUGAGUAACACGUGAGUAACCUGCCCUUGACUUUGGGAUAACUUCAGGAAACUGGGGCUAAUACCGGCUAGGAGCUCCUGCUGCAUGGUGGGGGUUGGAUAGUUUCGGCGGUUGGGGAUGGACUCGCGGCUUAUCGGCUUGUUGGUGGGGUAGUGGCUUACCAAGGCUUUGACGGGUAGCCGGGCUGAGAGGGUGACCGGCCACAUUGGGACGGAGAUACGGCCCAGACCCCUACCGGAGGGAAGGGUGGGGAAUAUUGCACAAUGGGCGGAAGCCUGAUGCAGCAACGCCGCGUGCGGGAUGACGGCCUUCGGGUUGUAAACCGCUUUCGCCUGUGACGAAGCGUGAGUGACGGUAAUGGGUAAAGAAGCACCGGCUAACUACGUG